rnacentral:rRNA from 1 species
GAUGAACGCUGGCGGCGUGCCUAAUACAUGCAAGUCGAGCGAACAGACGAGGAGCUUGCUCCUCUGACGUUAGCGGCGGACGGGUGAGUAACACGUGGAUAACCUACCUAUAAGACUGGGAUAACUUCGGGAAACCGGAGCUAAUACCGGAUAAUAUAUUGAACCGCAUGGUUCAAUAGUGAAAGACGGUUUUGCUGUCACUUAUAGAUGGAUCCGCGCCGCAUUAGCUAGUUGUUAAGGUAACGGCUUACCAAGGCGACGAUGCGUAGCCGACCUGAGAGCGUGAUCGGCCACACUGGAACUGAGACACGGUCCAGACUCCUACGGGAGGCAGCAGUAGGGAAUCUUCCGCAAAGGGCGAAAGCUUGACGGAGCAACGCCGCGUGAGUGAUGAAGGUCUUCGGAUCGUAAAACUCUGUUAUUAGGGAAGAACAAAUGUGUAAGUAACUAUGCACGUCUUGACGGUACCUAAUCAGAAAGCCACGGCUAACUACGUG